rnacentral:rRNA from 1 species
AUUGAACGCUGGCGGCAGGCUUAACACAUGCAAGUCGAGCGGAGUGAUGGUGCUUGCACUAUCACUUAGCGGCGGACGGGUGAGUAAUGCUUAGGAAUCUGCCUAUUAGUGGGGGACAACAUCUCGAAAGGGAUGCUAAUACCGCAUACGUCCUACGGGAGAAAGCAGGGGAUCACUUGUGACCUUGCGCUAAUAGAUGAGCCUAAGUCGGAUUAGCUAGUUGGUGGGGUAAAGGCCUACCAAGGCGACGAUCUGUAGCGGGUCUGAGAGGAUGAUCCGCCACACUGGGACUGAGACACGGCCCAGACUCCUACGGGAGGCAGCAGUGGGGAAUAUUGGACAAUGGGGGGAACCCUGAUCCAGCCAUGCCGCGUGUGUGAAGAAGGCCUUAUGGUUGUAAAGCACUUUAAGCGAGGAGGAGGCUCUUUUGGUUAAUACCCAAGAUGAGUGGACGUUACUCGCAGAAUAAGCACCGGCUAACUCUGUGCCAGCAGCCGCCGUAAAAC